rnacentral:rRNA from 1 species
GAAUUUUGGACAAUGGGCGCAAGCCUGAUCCAGCAAUGCCGCGUGAGUGAAGAAGGCCCUCGGGUUGUAAACUGCUUUUGUACGGAACGAAAAGCCUCUUUCUAAUAAAGAGGGGUGAUGACGGUACCGUAAGAAUAAGCACCGGCUAACUACGUUCCAGCAGCCGCGGUAAUACGUAGGGUGCGAGCGUUAAUCGGAAUUACUGGGCGUAAAGCGUGCGCAGGCGGUCUUGCAAGACAGUGGUGAAAUCCCCGGGCUCAACCUGGGAACUGCCAUUGUGACUGCAAGGCUGGAGUACGGCAGAGGGGGAUGGAAUUCCGCGUGUAGCAGUGAAAUGCGUAGAUAUGCGGAGGAACACCGAUGGCGAAGGCAGUCCCCUGGGCCUGUACUGACGCUCAUGCACGAAAGCGUGGGGAGCAAA